ACAUCUAAGUACCCGGAGGAAGAGAAAGCAAAUGCGAUUCCCUGAGUAGCGGCGAGCGAAACGGGAACAGCCCAAACCAAGAGGCUUGCCUCUUGGGGUUGUAGGACACUCUGUACGGAGUUGCAAAGAACGAGGUAGAUGAAGAGGUCUGGAAAGGCCCGCCAUAGGAGGUAACAGCCCUGUAGUCAAACUUCGUUCUCUCCUGAGUGGAUCCUGAGUACGGCGGAACACGUGAAAUUCCGUCGGAAUCC
rnacentral:rRNA from 1 species